UACAGAGGGUGCAAGCGUUAAUCGGAAUUACUGGGCGUAAAGCGUGCGUAGACGGUUACAUAAGUCGGGUGUGAAAGCCCCGGGCUCAACCUGGGAAUUGCAUUCGAGACUGCGUAGCUAGGGUGCGGAAGAGGGAAGCGGAAUUUCCGGUGUAGCGGUGAAAUGCGUAGAUAUCGGAAGGAACACCAGUGGCGAAAGCGGCUUCCUGGUCCAGCACCGACGUCAGGCGCGAAAGCGUGGGGAGCGAACAG
rnacentral:rRNA from 1 species